rnacentral:ncRNA from 1 species
ACAAUUAGGUUCCGCCAUCGAAAAAAUGGCGGCUAAGAGGGAAUCACGUGCAAAUCGUGAGCUGUCGCGCAACUGUAAAUCACAAUUGAUAUCAUCCGACGAUAUGCCAUUGGACUGAAAUAGUGUCUGAGAAGGCGCCGGAUGUAUGGUGAAAGCCAGGAUACCUGCCUUUUUGUUA